rnacentral:tRNA from 1 species
GCGCACGUGGUGGAAUUGGCAGACACGCUACUUUGAGGUGGUAGUGCCGAAAGGCGUGCAGGUUCAAGUCCUGCCGUGCGCACCA